rnacentral:rRNA from 1 species
CCCUUAGAUGUUCUGGGCUGCACGCGCGCUACACUGAUACUUUCAGCGAGUCCACCACCUUGCCUGGGAGGGUGGGGUAACCUCUGGAAAGUGCAUCGUGAUGGGGAUCGAUUAUUGUAAUUAUUAAUCUUCAACGAGGAAUUCCUAGUAAGCAUGUGUCAUCAGCCCGUGCUGAUUACGUCCCUGCCCUUUGUACACACCGCCCGUCGCUCCUACCGAUUGGGUGUGCUGGUGAAAUGUUCGGAUCGGCCGUUUGUCGCGGUUUCCGCGGCUCGUGGCUGAGAAGUUCAUUAAACCCUCCCACCUAGAGGAAGGAGAAGUCGUAACA